rnacentral:rRNA from 1 species
GAUGAACGCUGGCGGCGUGCCUAAUACAUGCAAGUCGAGCGAACAGGCGAUGCUCUUGCUCCUCUCACGUUAGCGGCGGACGUGUGUGUAACACGUGGAUACUCUCCCUAUAAUACUGGGAUCACUUCGGGAAACCGGCGCUUAUACCGUAUAAUAUACUGCUCCGUAUGGUUCAAUAGUGAAAGACGGCUUUGCUGUCACUUAUAGCUGGAUCCGCGCCGCAUUAGCUGGUUGUUAGGGUAACGGCUUACCAAGGCAACGAUGCGUAGACGACCUGAGAGAGGGAUAGGCCACACUGGAACGUAGACACGGUCCAGGCGACUAAGAGACGCAGCAGAAGGCAAUGGGCCGCAAUAGGGGAGAGCAUGACGGAGCAAGGCCACGUGAGAGAUGAAGGUCUUCGGAGCGGAAAAAUCUGUUAUGAGGGAAGAACAAAUGUGGAAGGAAAUAUGGACGGCUUGACGGUACCGGAUCAGAAAGCAACGGCUAACUACGUG